rnacentral:rRNA from 1 species
GAUGAACGCUGGCGGCAUGCCUAAUACAUGCAAGUCGAACGAGAGGAAGGAAAGCUUGCUUUUCUGAAUCUAGUGGCGAACGGGUGAGUAACACGUAGGUAACCUGCCCAUGUGCCCGGGAUAACUUCUGGAAACAGAUGCUAAAACCGGAUAGGUAGCAGACAAGCAUUUGACUGCUAUUAAAGUGGCUAAGGCCAUGAACAUGGAUGGACCUGCGGUGCAUUAGCUAGUUGGUGAGGUAACGGCCCACCAAGGCGACGAUGCAUAGCCGGCCUGAGAGGGCGGACGGCCACAUUGGGACUGAGACACGGCCCAAACUCCUACGGGAGGCAGCAGUAGGGAAUUUUCGUCAAUGGGGGGAACCCUGAACGAGCAAUGCCGCGUGAGUGAGGAAGGUCUUCGGAUCGUAAGGCUCUGUUGUAAGAGAAAAACGACAUUCAUAGGGAAUGAUGAGUGAGUGAUGGUAUCUUACCAGAAAGUCACGGCUAACUACGUGCCAGCCGCCGCAGUAAAAC